GACGAACGCUGGCGGCGUGCCUAAUACAUGCAAGUAGAACGCUGAAGGAGGAGCUUGCUCUUCUGGAUGAGUUGCGAACGGGUGAGUAACGCGUAGGUAACCUGCCUGGUAGCGGGGGAUAACUAUUGGAAACGAUAGCUAAUACCGCAUAAUAGUAGAUGUUGCAUGACAUUUGCUUAAAAGGUGCAAUUGCAUCACUACCAGAUGGACCUGCGUUGUAUUAGCUAGUUGGUGAGGUAACGGCUCACCAAGGCAACGAUACAUAGCCGACCUGAGAGGGUGAUCGGCCACACUGGGACUGAGACACGGCCCAGACUCCUACGGGAGGCAGCAGUAGGGAAUCUUCGGCAAUGGACGGAAGUCUGACCGAGCAACGCCGCGUGAGUGAAGAAGGUUUUCGGAUCGUAAAGCUCUGUUGUAAGAGAAGAACGAGUGUGAGAGUGGAAAGUUCACACU
rnacentral:rRNA from 1 species